rnacentral:rRNA from 1 species
CCCUUAGAUGUUCUGGGCCGCACACGCGCUACACUGAAGGAGGCAGCGUGUACUCCUGGAUCGAAAGAUUUGGGUAACCCGCGAAUCUCCUUCGUGCUAGGGAUUGAGGUUUGCAAUUAUCCUUCAUGAACGAGGAAUUCCCAGUAAGUGCAAGUCAUAAGCUUGCGCUGACUACGUCCCUGCCCUGUGUACACACCGCCCGUCGCUACUACCGAUUGAAUGAUUUAGUGAGGACUUCGGACUGGGACCGAUGCGGCUUUCGGGCUGCGUCGGUAUUCUGGAAAGAUGUCCAAACUGUAUCAUUUAGAGGAAGUAAAAGUCGUAACA